rnacentral:lncRNA from 1 species
CAAGGAGCUACAAGGAGUCAGAGCUAGAGUCGGGGGCAUACUAGUCUAGAUGAGAGGGAAAAUAGAGGGGAAAGAAUAAGGUGCUUGGAUUCUCGGGUGUCUCGUCAGUGUUUAGAUUUCCAACACCCUAAGCUCAUGGGUGGCCUAAGCCCCGUGACCACCACUAAACUACUUUUUUUUUAAAAAGUUGCCAAAAACUCUAGCUCAUGUAAGGGAGAAGAGAGACACCAUUGCUCAUGAGUGGACUACUAAGCUCCAAACUCAACACAACCUGUCGAGCCCCUUAGGGGGCCUCUUGGGGUCCGGCCAUUCGGACCGAAUUCUCGGUCCGGUAAUUUUCUCGGACUGUUUCUCGAUUGUAUUGUUUUCUACUAAGACCGGGCAUGUCUAGAUUAUUGGGCCUUCACACUAGUACAGGGAAAGACUUUAGCUCCAGGCGCCUUUAGUCCCGGCUACGGAACCAGGGCUAAGGUUUCGGGACUAAAUGUCCCACCUUUAGUUCUGGUUCCGAGGACCGGGACUAAAGGUCCACCUUUAGUCCCGGUUGGUAACAGCAACCGGGACUAAAAGAUGCGCCAGGGUGUGCCACCUGGCCUCCACUUUUAGUCCCGGUUGUUGCUACCAACCGGGACUAAAGACUUUUUUCUUUUUUUUUUCUUUUUCUUUUCAUUUGGUUUUCCAUUUAGGGUUUACGAUUAUGUUAUUGUUAUUUUCGAAUGCGUAUUGUUUGCUGGUAGUUUAUGGAACGCGCACCUAUAAUUUAUGUAAUUUAAAGCAUUACAUAUAAAUAUACUAUAAAACACUAUAUAUAUAAAUAAUAUGUAUCUAUAGUUCCAUAAUAUAAUAUUUACACAUAUGCUUCACGGACAAAGUAUUUACAACACAAUUUAUCUCCGCCACUCAAGCAUCGUACAAAUGAUCAUCGUUAUUUGGUUUCAUUGGCUCCUGAGGGUUGAAGUAGCACUCACCGCCGGGAUCCAGGACUUGGUCGUUAAGAAAUCCUGUGAUUGUCUCCUGAAUUCAUUUUAGGCGCACCGCAUCCAACACCUGCUCCUUCAGCCACAUCUCCUUUAAUAGACAUUAAAGAAAAAAGUUAGAGGUAUGAAUAGGAUUUAUUAAAUAGCAACAAAUAAAUGAAAUAAACUUAUUAUAUAUACAUGUUACAUACUUUUAGGUGCUCAAGAUUAGUUCUUUGGCAUAGACCGUCAUAAACUCGCACACAUAGUAGCCACACAAAUUGUUUGCCCGGUGUCUGCCGUAGAACCCAUUGAAGUAAGAUGGGCUUUGAAAGUGCUGCAUUCAACUCUGGACGGUGUUUCUGCACGAACCCAGCCCAAACCCUAGCAAUAAAACGAUCAUUAUUAAUUAUCUAUUACCAAGUUAAAAGAGCAGAAUUUAAUAUAUAGUGAUCAGAGUUACCCUUGGAUAAUAUCUAUCAUUUCUUGGUAAUCGUCCUGUGGUUUUCUCAACGAGUCAUAGAUUACCAAUUGACAUUGCCAGAGAUCAAUGACAAUUAGUAUCCAAUGAAAGCUGCAUUUGUGUGCAUAUGUAGGCAAAAUUAGUAUAUAUCUUCAUAUUGAUCUGAUUAAUUAGUUAAAUAGAAUGUACACACGAUAACGACACUUACUUAAAGUUGUAGGGAAAGAGUAUAUAUCUUUUAUCUUUUUGGUUGAUCAAGAACCUUAGUAGAUUUCUCUCCGUUUGAGUUCUCCAUAAGACAUACGGGGUCUUGUGGUCUUUGAAUACAACAUUUGGAUCCACAAAUCCAAUCUCCUUGUCAUUUCUAACUCUGAGGUCCCUCAUCAUGUUUCUACAUAUGUACAGAGGGUUUCUGUAAUUAGUUAUAUAUAUACAUGAUAAGUUACAUAGACAUUAUUGAAAGGAAGAAUCACUUACAGACAGAAGCAACUCAUUAGAGAUUUGUCAAGAGCGUCCAUGUGACAUAUGAAUCCAUCCCGCUUGUUUUCCUCGGCCACUCUUAAGAAAUAAUGCACACCAUCAAUGAAUUCUUUGGAGCGGCGAUCGGCAUUGUACAUCCAAUGACGUGUCAUUGUCUGCAUUGCAACGUAAAGUAUUAUAAGUUUCUAAUUUUUUAUACAUAAAGUAACAAAUAAUCUAAAAUUCUCU